rnacentral:rRNA from 1 species
UACGUAGAUGGCAAGCGUUAUCCGGAAUGACUGGGCGUAAAGGGUGCGUAGGCGGUUCUUUAAGUCAGAUGUGAAAAUCCAGUGCUUAACAUUGGAACUGCAUUUGAAACUGGAGAACUUGAGUGCAGGAGAGGAAAGUGGAAUUCCUAGUGUAGCGGUGAAAUGCGUAGAUAUUAGGAGGAACACCAGUGGCGAAGGCGACUUUCUGGACUGUAACUGACGCUGAGGCACGAAAGUGUGGGGAUCAAAC